rnacentral:rRNA from 1 species
UACAGAGGUCUCAAGCGUUGUUCGGAUUCACUGGGCGUAAAGGGUGCGUAGGCGGUGAGGUAAGUCGGAUGUGAAAUCUCCAAGCUCAACUUGGAAAUGGCAUUGGAAACUACCUCGCUAGAGGAUCGGAGGGGGGACUGGAAUACUUGGUGUAGCAGUGAAAUGCGUAGAUAUCAAGUGGAACACCAGUGGCGAAGGCGAGUCCCUGGACGAUUCCUGACGCUGAGGCACGAAAGCUAGGGGAGCAAACAGG